rnacentral:rRNA from 1 species
UAAUACGGAGGAUCCAAGCGUUAUCCGGAUUUAUUGGGUUUAAAGGGUGCGUAGGCGGAAGAUUAAGUCAGUGGUGAAAGUUUGCAGCUCAACUGUAAAAUUGCCAUUGAAACUGAUUUUCUUGAGUGUAAAUGAGGUAGGCGGAAUGUGUUGUGUAGCGGUGAAAUGCUUAGAUAUAACACAGAACACCAAUUGCGAAGGCAGCUUACUGGGAUACAACUGACGCUGAGGCACGAAAGCGUGGGGAUCAAACAGGAUUAGAUACCCUGGUAGUCCACGCAGUAAACGAUGAAUACUAACUGUAUGCGAUAUACUGUAUGCGGUACAGCGAAAGCGUUAAGUAUUCCACCUGGGGAGUACGUUCGCAAGAAUGAAACUCAAAUGAAUUGACGG